AGUAAAUAUCUUGAAGCUCGACAGAUUGAAAACUGUCGCGUGCGCGUCUAUUUAGUCAAAAUUCAAAGGCAAGCUAUAAAUCGAUGACGGUAUCCCCUACCAAAUACCAGUGUCGCAGCAGCUAUCUAGCCAGUUUGGCGUGUACCAAAAAUCCGUACGGGCUGUCGUUAUGUCCUAAAGAAGAAGCCGUGUAUUUCAGCGAGAGGGGGGGGGAGAAGGGAAAGAGAGGAGAACUCAUCCGAAGCAAGGAUUAUGUCGGCCGCGACGACAAGCUAUAUUCACGCUCGCCUAGUGCAGGAUGCGCGAGUACGUGGAGGAGAACGAGAAGAACGACCCACUAAUCCACGCACCCGACAAAAAGAAUAAUCCAUGGGCCGAGAAGGGCAAGUGCACUAUAAUGUAAGCACGUGGCCGCAGUCGCUUGCUCGCCCACGCUACAACAAUAACCAGCGCCACCAUUACGAUCGACGAGAAGAACAACGCCCAACGAGCGAAAGGACAGACGAACACACACACACUUCACGAGAAAGAGAGACAUUAUUCUAUGUACGAGCGACUGCUGCAGAGCCGUGGAUUUAUAUAAAGCGCGCGUCGUCGGCACGACGACCACUGACGCGUUGUCUUAUGGACAAUGAUAUAAAAAAACAACCAAACAAAAUAAAAAAAAAGCCGUUUUUUUUGUCUACGGCGAUCGAACACGAAGGAUCAAAGUUAGAUUCAUCAACAAAAAAAGAGAGAUAACGAUUCUCCCAAAAUUUUUCGAGAGAACCAAAGAGACGACUAUCAAAUUUUUUCUACGACCUCGUCGCUCAUGUUUCGUUCAUUUGCGAGCUUACAAAACAAGUAGUCGAUGAGAGAGAGAAAGCCUCGGAUGGAUUAUUAGAGAAUUAAAAAAUAAACCAAAAAAUAUAACUAAACAAAAUGAGAGGAGGACCAAAAAGCGAUGACGAAGUGCCAAAAGAGGAGACGCGAGACAUACGUACACGAGGAGCACGCCAGUAAAAAAAAGCUUAAAUAAUAAAAGCAAGCGACCACUUACAGUCAUCGUCAAUUCGAAGCACGAGAGAGCUUUCCUUCCUCGUUUUUUGUGAUUUAAAACAAAUAAUAAAUAAAAAAGAAUGAAUAGAGACAAAGAAGAUGACGAAGAAGACGAAGAAGAACAAACAAAAAUAAGAGGUGAAAAACAAUGAUGAACGCGAUAUAAAUAUAAAUAAUAUAUGUAUAUCAAUUCGGCUUGUCGCUUUUACUUUUCUUCGGAUUAUAUAUAGAUAUUGACGACGAUGCGCGUGGCGCAGUGUUCAGCGAGACGUAAUUUUAUUAAAGGAUCCCGCGCGAUCGGAUCAACGAGGCUUUUUAUUAUCUAACGAUUUUCGGAAGCCUUUGCAAUGAUCGCUAUCGCUAUAUAUAAAUAUAUAUAUAUACAUAUAUAUAUAAAUAAAAAAAGAUACCUACACUUUAUUCACGCUCGACUAAAGUGGGCCGGAGAAUUACGUGUCGUCUAGCGAGUUGUUUGUUAAAAAAAUUAUUAAUAUUAUUCUGUCGUUUUAUUUAUGAUGUAGAUGUUUAUUUUUUCUCUUUCUUUUUUUCACGUUGAUAACGUUUGCUUCGGCCACGUACGCCAUGCCAGGACAUUAUUUAUAUCGAGCGUACCUAUAUAUUUUCUUAAUUUAAAUGGAAAAUCGAUGAAAUGAAAUAAAAAAAAUGAAAAAAUGGAGAAGAAACGUUAACUAUAUUAUAUUUACCGUAACGACCAUAAUUACCUAAUAAGUAUAAAUGAUAAAUAUAUUAUAUUAUGUAUACCAUUGUAUCGACAUAACGUUGCACUGUCAUUAAGCAUUAAAAAAAAAAGGACAAAAGCGAGUAAAAAAACAAAUAAGAUUAAGAUGAAUAAACAAGAAAAAAACAUUGAAAUAAACAAAAAAAAAGAAGAAAAUGUGAAGAAAAAUAAGGUGAAUGAGCGUCGUAUGAGCGCUAAAAAUGUACGACGAUUUUCUCACGGUUAUAUCCGGAUUUACACUUGUAUCACGCUAUAAGUCGUUAAGUUGUACUUACUACACAUGUAUAAUGCGAGCGGUUUCUUACGAAAAUAUAAUGUCGUAUGUCGAAAGCUAUGCCACGAGCGAGUUGUUACUUCUUUUUUCUUCCACACUUCAUCCGCACGCCUACUCGAUGCUGCCGUUGCUGUGCCGUUGCUUCCACCCGCUGAGAGAUCGAGGCUGACUACUUGCCUACCGUUUCUACUACUGCGAGAAUAUGAAGGGCAUUAUUGUUAAAUAUUUUGCUCUCUGUUUGUCUGUCUCUCUCUCUCUCUCUCUCUCUCUCUCUCUCUCUCUCUCUCUCUCUCUCUCUCUCUCUCUCUC